UACGUAGGGAGCAAGCGUUGUCCGGAAUCAUUGGGCGUAAAGCGCGCGUAGGUGGCCACAUAAGUCCGUUGUGAAAGUCAAAGGCUCAACCUUUGAAAGCCGAUGGAUACUGUGUGGCUAGAGUACGGAAGAGGCGAGUGGAAUUCCUGGUGUAGCGGUGGAAUGCGCAGAUAUCAGGAGGAACACCAAUAGCGAAGGCAGGUCUCUGGGCCAUAACUGACGCUGAGAAGCGAAAGCAUGGGGAGCGAACAGG
rnacentral:rRNA from 1 species